CGGACGGGUGAGUAACACGUGGAUAACCUAUCUAUAAGACUGGGAUAACUUCGGGAAACCGGAGCUAAUACCGGAUAAUAUAUUGAACCGCAUGGUUCAAUAGUGAAAGACGGUUUUGCUGUCACUUAUAGAUGGAUCCGCGCCGCAUUAGCUAGUUGGUAAGGUAACGGCUUACCAAGGCAACGAUGCGUAGCCGACCUGAGAGGGUGAUCGGCCACACUGGAACUGAGACACGGUCCAG
rnacentral:rRNA from 1 species